GAUGAACGCUAGCGGGAGGCCUAACACAUGCAAGCCGAGCGGUAGAGAUUCUUCGGAAUCUUGAGAGCGGCGUACGGGUGCGGAACACGUGUGCAACCUACCUUUAUCAGGGGGAUAGCCUUUCGAAAGGAAGAUUAAUACCCCAUAAUAUAUUGAAUGGCAUCAUUUGAUAUUGAAAACUCCGGUGGAUAGAGAUGGGCACGCGCAAGAUUAGAUAGUUGGUAGGGUAACGGCCUACCAAGUCAAUGAUCUUUAGGGGGCCUGAGAGGGUGAUCCCCCACACUGGUACUGAGACACGGACCAGACUCCUACGGGAGGCAGCAGUGAGGAAUAUUGGACAAUGGGUGAAAGCCUGAUCCAGCCAUCCCGCGUGAAGGACGACGGCCCUAUGGGUUGUAAACUUCUUUUGUAUAGGGAUAAACCUUUCCACGUGUGGAAAGCUGAAGGUACUAUACGAAUAAGCACCGGCUAACUCCGUGCCAGCAGCCGCGGUAAUACGGAGGGUGCAAGCGUUAUCCGGAUUUAUUGGGUUUAAAGGGUCCGUAGGCGGAUCUGUAAGUCAGUGGUGAAAUCUCAUAGCUUAACUAUGAAACUGCCAUUGAUACUGCAGGUCUUGAGUAAAGUAGAAGUGGCUGGAAUAAGUAGUGUAGCGGUGAAAUGCAUAGAUAUUACUUAGAACACCAAUUGCGAAGGCAGGUCACUAUGUUUUAACUGACGCUGAUGGACGAAAGCGUGGGGAGCGAACAGGAUUAGAUACCCUGGUAGUCCACGCCGUAAACGAUGCUAACUCGUUUUUGGGACUUCGGUUUCAGAGACUAAGCGAAAGUGAUAAGUUAGCCACCUGGGGAGUACGUUCGCGAGAAUGAAACUCAAAGGAAUUGACGGGGGCCCGCACAAGCGGUGGAUUAUGUGGUUUAAUUCGAUGAUACGCGAGGAACCUUACCAAGACUUAAAUGGGAAAUGACAGGUUUAGAAAUAGAUCCUUCUUCGGACAUUUUUCAAGGUGCUGCAUGGUUGUCGUCAGCUCGUGCCGUGAGGUGUUAGGUUAAGUCCUGCAACGAGCGCAACCCCUGUCACUAGUUGCUAACAUUCAGUUGGGGACUCUAGUGAGACUGCCUACGCAAGUAGAGAGGAAGGUGGGGAUGACGUCAAAUCAUCACGGCCCUUACGUCUUGGGCCACACACGUAAUACAAUGGCCGGUACAGAGGGCAGCUACACAGCGAUGUGAUGCGAAUCUCGAAAGCCGGUCUCAGUUCGGAUUGGAGUCUGCAACUCGACUCUAUGAAGCUGGAAUCGCUAGUAAUCGCGCAUCAGCCAUGGCGCGGUGAAUACGUUCCCGGGCCU
rnacentral:rRNA from 1 species